CCCUACGGGGUGUUUGCGUGUUAGCAGCAGCUCAUCCCAGAGCUUGAGAGUCUGUUCCAAUGGACUAAGCAUCAUGAAACCCGGGAAAAGAGCGUGCAGGGCGGCUUUUGGUAGAGUCUGAGAGCGGGUUUUGAACUCACUCAUCUGAUUCCAUAAUUCAAUUCCAGUAAAACCCUUCACAUCCCAAUCGGUCCAGUUGAAAGAUUUCUCGUUAAAAAGUGGCAAAGGGUCAUCAAAUGGAUGCGCCAGGAAUGUUGAAGCCCCGGCAAAGCGCGCCUGGUCGAUCAGCUGCUGGCGGUUGGAGGCAAAGCGGGGGAGC
rnacentral:rRNA from 1 species